ACUCCUACGGGAGGCAGCAGUGGGGAAUAUUGCACAAUGGGCGCAAGCCUGAUGCAGCCAUGCCGCGGGUAUGAAGAAGGCCUUCCGGUUGUAAAGUCCUUUCAGCGGGGAGGAGGGCAGUGGGUUAAAUUCCUUGAACUUCGACCUUUCCUCAGAGUAGACACUGAUUAACCUCGUGCCACCGAUCCCACUUUUUAAGAUUACCUCCAUCGG
rnacentral:rRNA from 1 species